AAAUCCGCGAACGUCAUUUCCCCCAAAAUUUCUAUGGAUUUUCUCUCCAUUCCUAAACUUAAUCUUCAACCUAACGUGGCUCUUCCUGAUCAAACCCACUCCGAUUCUCCUUCUCCGGUACCGUCUGUCCCAUCCCUCCGCCGCGACGAUCUCCCCAACACCAUGGAUUUCAACCCCUUUGCCACUAUCUCCUCCAUCGUCACAUCUGCCGACGAUUCCUUCCCUUUCGACACCGAUUGGUUUUCCGACGCGGAUUCCGAGUCCGAGCGUGAUGUUAGUUGCUUCGUGACUGAUCUUUUUGAGAAUCGUCGCUUCACCGAUCAUUUGCACGCUUUCAGCGAUUACGAUCGAGGUCUGGAUUCUGGGCCAGACCCAUUUACGCAUUCUGCUAACGACUUGGGCAUUUCGGGAUUUGAAGAUACCGGUGAGAUUGAAUCUCACUAUAUUGAGGAGCUGUGGUCGGCUUUCGCUAUGGAAUCUGAUAGCCGGGUUUCGGAGGUGGAUGUGAGCAUGCCAGUUGCGGAUUCGACUACUAGUGGCCUUCGGAUUGUUGAUGUGGAUUCGGACUCGGAGUCUGAUAACGGGAUGAUUGGUGCUCUGCAACUCGUGACAGGGGAUGAUGGCGAGAAUGAUGCUAAUUGGGUUGAAAAUCCGAAUCCUCUCUCGGAUAGCUUCAGCUUUUGCUUUCAGGGCCAGAGGAUUCCGUACGAGGAUUUUGAAUGGGAGGAGGUCGAGGAACGGGUGGACGAAAGGGAUAAUUUGAGCGCAGUGGUAGAUGGAGCUGAGGAAUUGUCUCUUGCAUCGGGUUUUUCCAACGAAGAAGAAGCGGGUGAAGAAGCGGGUCGAUGGGAAAUCCUAUUGGUAAUGAACGAUAUCGUAAGGAAUACGAACUGGGAACGGGAUAACGAUGCUGAGGCGUACAUAGCGGACCAGGAUGAUUACAUGUAUGCAGGAGAAUACGAUACCCUUUUUGGACAAUUCGUUGAAAAUGAGAAUGCUUUGAAGGGUAGUCCUCCAGCAGCUAAGAGUUCUGUGGAGAACCUUCCUCUGGUUGAGUUAAAAACAGAGAAUCUGCUGACAGAGGAACUCGUUGCCUGUGCCGUUUGUAAGGAUAAAUUUUCAAUGGAGGAAAAGGUGAGGAAGCUCCCCUGUGCUCACUAUUACCAUGAUGAUUGCAUUCUGCCGUGGCUGAAUAUUCGAAACACAUGUCCUGUUUGUCGAUAUGAGUUGCCAACCGAUGAUCCAGAUUAUGAGCGCAGGAAGAGUCGGAGGGCGGGUGGUGGCCUGCAAACGGAUUUGCGGGUCAGGUUUUGUGGUAAGAUUUCUUUUAAAAGUUCUCCUCCUGGAACAACUAGCAUUGCUGUUGAUACGCUCAAAUUGUCUUCACAGGUAUCCAUUGUUAUUCAAAUGCUUGGUAAGUUUUAGUCGCUAAUAGUAGGGGGAAACUAUACUAUCUUACCUUUGUUGAAUUCAAUUUAGGAAUUAUAAAGUUUGAGACAAAGCAUACUAAGUGCUGAGCUUUGAAACUGUUUACUUGUGAAGUAUUAAAUUUGUAUAUUUAUAUGCUUAGAGUAUCCGUUGGUAGACUUGUUAAAUAGGAAACUCCUGGCGUAAACUUUUGUGUGGCGCAAUUGCUUGAUUUUGGGUCAAAAUAAUUCUUGUAAGUUUGCUUAAUAGGCGUGGGAAGGAUGAUGCUUCUGUCAUCGUGUUCUGGUUAUUAAUACUUCAUCCGGUUAUUGGACAUAGAAAUCUUAGUGGAUAUGCUUUGGCCUUUUGAUUGUGUUUGGGAGUGUUUUCUCUCCUAGUAUAUUAAAAGUGCUUUGUCAAAUAAAAUCAUUUUCACUGUGCUUGACUACGUGUGAAAAUUUUGUUUAUGGAUGAAGAAACGUUUAGUGGACACUUCUAAUCAUUCAUGAUAUUGGUUCAGAAUCGGGAUUCUAUUAAAUGAAAUCUUCGUUUUUGAGAAAAGAAGUAUCUUGAGAAAUGGCUUCCCGCUUAUUGAUUAUUGAAGUGUUGUGGUGUGAAUCAUACUUUUUUUUUUUUUUUUCUUUGGAAUUAUUUUGGGUUUUUUGUUUAAAGAUUUUUAGAAAAGCAUUUCUUUUAUCAAACAAUCUUUCAAAGUCACAGACUUCUGAAUUCUGGUGUUAGCUAUUGUUACAUUUACUCGCCUGUUAUCUUAUUCUUCCCUUCUUUAAAAUCUCUCAGAAAUUGUCUUAUGAAAUAUUAUUCUGGUGUUUUUUAGUUUCUAUGAGUUGAAUCUCGGAUAACUUGAGCAGUAGAUACAAUGAUCGUCGUUUACUUUUAUGCCUUAUCAUAAUAUCCAUUGAUUAAUUGAUUUAGCUACUAAAAAAAGCCUGCAUUUCCUUCAUGAUCUAUAUGAUGUUUGCUGCUUCUUGAACACAAUGUAGACUAUGACAUUAACCCAAUGAGUUGUGUGCCUGUAUUUCUUUCAUGGUCUGUAUGCUGUUUGCUGCUGCUAGAAUGCAAUAUAGACUAUGACAUUAAACCGAGGGUGUGUUGUGCCUGUAUUUCUUUCAUGGUCUAUCUGAUGUUUUCUGCUACUAGAACGCGAUAUAGACUAUGACAUUAAACCAAGGUUGAGUUGUGCCUGCAUUUCGUUCAUGGUCUAUAUGAUGUAUGCUGCUGCCAGAACACGAUAAAGACUGACAUUUAAGGAUGAGCUGUUGUAACAACUUCCAUGAUUUAUCCUCAUGUUCUGGAUCAGGAUUAUUCUCUCUUCUCACUUGUGAUUUGUGAAUCUGUGAUUGGUACUUUUGUUAUUAUCGUUGAGAACCAUAUUUGUUACCAUAUUCUUCUUAUCCAGGUUCCCCUUCCACCCAAGUUUUGAUUGAAUGAUUCAUUCGGUUGAGUGAAACUCUUUCUCCUGAAUUGGAAAUUGGAUUUGAAAUUAUUGAA